rnacentral:tmRNA from 1 species
GGGGAUGACUGGCUUCGACGGGGAUGAAAACGCCUGCAAUCGGGCCGAGGACGCAGAGACACUCGUAAAACCCUCUGCAAACCAAUACGUGCAAACGUAUCUGAAGGCGCUGUAGCGGUUUCCGCCGACUUGUUCGGUGGUGCCGUGCGCGCCCCCGCAUUUGCCUAAUUUUUAGAUAAAUGCCAUCCGUCUUUGGCGUUCGGGCUGAAGAUUCACGGGUGUCAUACUCCCGAACUUGAUUCGCGGCAUUUCGGGGCCGCGCGUGACACCUACCGGAACCCGGGACGGACUUUUUUGCUGAAAUUCUAUUUCCGCUCCGGCACAACAAUUUCAGCUACGCCCGUAGCGAUUGCCCGCGCGAUUAUUUUCGGACGAGGGUUCGAUUCCCUCCAUCUCCAUAU